UUAUAAACCGCCCCCAGGAUUUUCCUCUUUUCCCUGAGAAGCAGAUGAUCAGUCAUCCCUUUUAUGAACCUGCGAGAAAUGCUCGAUGAUCAUAAUUGGGUUUAAAACCUCUCGUAUCAUUGCAGCAUCAGCGUACCCAAAACCCCAAUACAAAAAAACUAAUCUCUGAAUAUUUCGCAAAAUCCAUUCGUCUUCUUCAGCCUCUCUUCCUUUCUUCUUGCCAUUCAUCCACCCGAUAGCUGAUGGAACUCUAACCGAUCUCGCAAAUCCCGAUUCUAAAAGGGUCAUUUUCUUCCCUCUUUUCCUAUUUCAUGCUGUUGUUGCGCGAGGAAGAUUCUCGCUACUCGCUCCAUCAGUUCCCCAUGGCCGUGAGUGGGCACCAUGCCAUUCAGUUGUUGCCACACCUUUGCUUAUUGCAUUUGAACUUGUUCUUUGUAUCUUUCUAGAGAAUAGCUAUUAUACAUUGUUUCUAAGCCUCCACCUGUAAGCUUGCAAAUUGUCUUCCUUCCUCUGUUGGCAUUUGAAGUAGCCAUUCUUGUUGACAACUUCAUGUGAUUAUUUUUGAGUUUUAUGAAUGUAAUUGUCUUUGAAGAAUUUGUAAAAAAAAUACAAGUUGCAGAUUCUGGACGAGAAUGCAUGUAAUACUUGUAGAUAAAUUCCUAAUUACCAUAUUUGACUUUUGUUUUAUAGCUGCAUUUUCAUGUUUUACUUGAAU
rnacentral:lncRNA from 1 species